ACUAUCGGGAAUUCCCUGUUGAGGUAGAAAGAUGGUUAUGUGAAGCUCACCAUCAUGCCAGCCAGGAAUAGCAAUCAGGUUGAUGUGAUACUGGAGGAAUUCAGUGUCUCUGUAGCAUCAGUAGGAAUGGUUCUCCAUGUGUGAGAUCACACUGUAGUUCUUCUUGUACCAGUUUAGUACAUAUUUGUGCAGAGGCUGAGCAAGAAGAACUUUUAGGAGGAGCAGCAUGCUUUGAAGAAAAUGAUGGAGGAAUUGCAACUAGAAACUGGGAUGGCGGCAGCAACAGGCAGUUGACAUUUUGCCAGAAAAAGGUCUCCAGUACAGCAGUUGGACUGGGCCAAAUUCUUUCAUAGCUUCAGAAGUGCUUGGCCCCUUCAUAAUAAUGUGUCCAUGACAAGGUGUGGAGGAACAGGAAGGAGGG